rnacentral:rRNA from 1 species
CCUACGGGGGGCAGCAGUGAGGAAUAUUGGUCAAUGGACGAGAGUCUGAACCAGCCAAGUAGCGUGAAGGAUGACUGCCCUCUGGGUUGUAAACUUCUUUUAUAUGGGAAUAAAAUGUUCCUCGUGUGGGAUUUUGUAUGUACCAUAUGAAUAAGGAUCGGCUAACUCCGUUCCAGCAGCCGCGGUAAUACGGAGGAUCCGAGCGUUAUCCGGAUUUAUUGGGUUUAAAGGGAGCGUAGGUGGAUUGUUAAGUCAGUUGUGAAAGUUUGCGGCUCAACCGUAAAAUUGCAGUUGAAACUGGCAGUCUUGAGUACAGUAGAGGUGGGCGGAAUUCGUGGUGUAGCGGUGAAAUGCUUAGAUAUCACGAAGAACUCCGAUUGCGAAGGCAGUUCACUGGACUGCAACUGACACUGAGGCUCGAAAGUGUGGGUAUCAAACAGGAUUAGAUACCCGAGUAGUC